rnacentral:rRNA from 1 species
GCGCGAGGAGGUGAGAACAGGCGCGCGAUUGGCUUCGUCGCUGCCCCACAGCACUGGUCGUUUCCUUCCCCAGAUACGCCCGCCCCGCUCCAACCCUCUUCUCCUCCUCACGUACGGCACCUCCUUUCUCCUCCCUCUCCCUCUCUCUCUCACCCACUGGCGGCGGAGACUGGAGGCGUAACACUGCACGCGCCGGCCGGCGAGGAGGAGCUGCGCUGUCGCCAGCGCACCAACUGCGUCUACUGCCUCGCCUCCCCGUUGACCUACAAGAAGGUAUAUUCCCACAUUGAACUGAAUUAUUGCUAUAUUCGGUUGAUUCAGACAUAUUGUAUCUUCAAUGGCUUUCACUGCUGGGCAAAAUCAAGCGAUGGAAGAUCCAUGGUACAUUGUGGUGUUAUCUGCUACUGAUUUACAGGCCUUGUGGUUGUCGUUCCCAUGGCUGUGCCGUUCACGUUUAUGCAGGGUUUAAAGUUUGAUUUAGGAUGAGCACACAAGUUUGAUGUUUGCAGUUACAGAUUUUUGUCAAAGCCCGCUGAAACGAAGUUUAGUUCAGCAGACCAUGUAUGUUGGAAGAAAGCAAAUUUCUUGCCUUCUGAAUCCUCCGUAGCCAUCAUAUUUUAUUUCAGACCGAAUUGUCCCAGCUCAGUGUAUCUCAGCGAAGUAGCGGGUUCAUGCAAGGCCUGGCCGACGGCAACGACUUUAGGGGCUGCCGUGAUUUGCAUACUUCAUCUAGGUAAAUUGUGCUAGCUUUCAGAUUAUUCAUUUUCGUUUUACCCUGUCAAAGAUCUUCUCAGAUUAGUUAACCAAGCUAUGUAAUGAUGGUGUUGUGAUUCCGAGGGCUCCGUUGGAGGAUCAGCUUUGGUUCAGAGGCAGGUUUUGGGCAUACCGCAGCACAAGCAGAGGCAUAUCUCAGUCGAUGCUACUGCAGUUGAUGAUGCCCUGAAGCUUCCUUCAGUAACUGGUAUCACCUGACGUCGGUGUGGUUUUGUGUUCAGAGAAGAUGAGCUGUUGUAUUCUUCUUUCAUAUAGUUGUUGCAGGUUCUUCCAGAUCUAAAUCCAUAGACAAAGCACUGAUUGUUUGCUCUCUUGGGAGUUGUUAUAAUUUGCACAGCUAUUUUUUAAGAUUCAUUUUGCUUACAUUUAUUUAGUGAAGCUCCUGCAAAAGUCAAUAUUCAUUUAGUAUAGCACAAUUUUAUUGGCAGCUAUACAUGGCUUUGCAUCCCAAGUUAAAUGUUAAGUUUGCUUGACCUUGUGGCCUAGAUGGGUAUUGUUAAGCAUUUUUCCCUAAAAAGGGCAAUUCCUUAUUCAUAGGAUAUAUUGAAUUCACUGCACAUUGGUACAUCGCGUGAAAUCUGUAAUCAAAUGUUACUCGUAUUGCAUAUUGAUUGUUUUUGUGCAGGCUUGUACGCUUGAUUUUAUUUCAAGAUUUAUUGGUAUUCUUCUUAGAUGAGGUAGGGUCUGCAUUCUUUUUUUAACAGGAGGAUAUAUGUAUUCUGGACACAGUCUGUCCAUCUAGCUCUUUCUUAUAUUUGAUUUAUGAGCAAUUGUCUGACUAUAUUGUUCUUUUCACCCUCCAUGCACGUGUUCCGUUGAAGUAGACAACCAGUGGAUCAAUGUGCCUGCUUUAAGUAUAGUGAUGAAACUUCACACUUCCCUGCAGACUCAGCGUGCCGCUGUUCUCUAAGGUCGUUGAGUGCUGAGAACAGGCAAUAUAAUUAGGCUUUUAACGAGAAGUUGGAGGAGAUAAAAACUUUCAGGAAGUGUUUAGGCGAGUUCCAUGCCGAAAAUAAUGUUAUGUGAGCAGAGAGUGCAGGCUUGUGCUCUUCUGUUGAAGAGCUUGAGCAUGAGACGAGGAGAGGUGACUGGUCAAAGAAAUUAAGACCCUUGAAAAAACCAGAGCGAGGGUCAGUUCCAAUGCUGCUAAGCAAGCUAAAAUGGAAGAUAUAGUGGUUGAGAGAGAUGCCAUACAGGAUCAGGUGAAAAUCAUCAUACAUGGAGUAAAGGAGGGAGAAGCAGCCAUGUCUAAGAUUAAGGUCCUGGACGAUGAGGCGAUGGGCGUGGAGAGCUGCUACGAGCUCGCGCAGGCGGCAUACGUCAACCUCGCGCUGCACACGCUCAAGCACCUGGCGCCCGUCGUCAAUGGGCUCCUCGUCCAUGAUUAGCUGGACAACAUGAACCUCGAGGAGGUUGUGAAGGGGAACAUCUGUGACGCCGUUCUUUAGGUCUUUGGGAGUUUGCUAGCAGUCCUGGUCAGACUUGGACCAGGGACUAGCGUCCUGGAUGCCUUGGCACGCUCGGCUCCACCGGUGUUGCAAGCCCAGGAGCUCUGUCAUUGCAUUAAAGGAGAGGGAAAAACUGUACAUUGUAGAGCUUACAAGGGGAGCAGAAGGUAACCCACUAACAACGAGAGACAGUAGGCAAGAAAAAACAGCGGCAGAUUACACUCUGAAAGCCUCCCUGAAUAGACUAAUGUCAUCAAUCACCAGCAUGUAAAUUUGAUGAGGCAACAACAACUUGUGUUGGAACACCCUCCUGUUUCUUUCAUUCCAUAAAUGCCAGGCAACAUAUGCAGCAAAAGUGAUCUGCUCCUUCCUGAUGUUCUUGGGGUUGAUCAAAUGCAGCUUACGCCACCAACCUUUUACUGAAUUGGAGGAGAAGGCCGCGUCCAACAGCUGAGGAUGAAUGGAGCCAGCCUCUGUCCAGACUUCUUUAGAGUAGGGGCAGCCGAGGAGGAUGUGCCUCGCAGUCUCCAGGACCUGAUCACAGAAGGCGCAUGUCGGGUUGCAUGGCCAUCCUCUGGUGGAUAAUCUGUCCGCCGUCCAGUUUCGGUUCUGGAUUAGCAACCAAAGAUAGAAUUUUAUCUUGUUGUCAGCUUUGACCUUUCAAGCUUGCUCCAGAAGUGGUUGUUUGAUUCGCCCUAUGAAUUGGGCAUCAUAAGCAUCAUGGGCCGUGUAAAUUCCUUUGGAGUUAAAAACCCAGACAAGGCUAUCCCUGUCCUGAGACAGCUGCACUUCCUGGAUCAGCUCCCACAAGUUGACAAAUUGCAGAACUUGUUCUUCGUUGCUCAUCCUUUGGAGAACCUUCAUCCAUUUGUUUUCGGUCAAAGCAUCUGCCACCUUGAGAUUUUUCCUCCAGGCCAGCUUUGCAACCUCUGGAGCCACUUCAAUGGGUGCAACCCCAUGCAGCCACUUUGUCUUUCCAGAAAUUUGCCUUUUGUCCGUUCCCCAAAAUGAUCUUGGUGCAGGAGGAGAAAAGGUCUCUGUCUAUUGCAGCGCACGGAAUUUGGGAACCUCUCCAAGGUCUGUCAGUGUCAUCCCAUUCAAACCAACACCAUCUGAGUCUCAAAGCUCUGCUAUAACAGGUUAGCUCUUUGAUUCCGAGGCCACUGAGACUUUUCAGGGAGCAACAUUGUUUCCAAUUUACCAAGCAUUUACUUCCGCUUGCCUCCUCAUCCCCAGCCCAAAGAAAGUUUCUUCUAUAUUUGUCUAGCUUUUUGAUGGCCCACUUAUCCAUUGCAAAACAAGUGAGGAAGAAAGUUGUGAUUGCCGUGAGGACCGAGUUAAUUAGAGUUAGGCGCCCCGUUCUGUUUAGAAGCUUUCCUUUCCACGGUUUUACUCUUCCAGCAGCCUUGUCUACGAGUGGUUGCAAUUCAGCACGUUUUGGCUUCCUCGUGUGCAAAGGAAGGCCCAGGUAUUUGCAACGGAGCGAGUCCUCUUUUCCUCCAAAAUCUUGCAGAACUUCACCAUGUUCCUCGACAUUGCACCGAAUCUUGUAUGUUGUGCACUUUCCAAAGUUGAUCAUCAAGCCGGAAAUCUCUCCAAAACGGAUCAGAAUUUUUUGAAUAGCAGCAAUCUCAUCUCUGAUGGGGUUAACAAACAGAGCUGCGUCAUCGGCAUACAGGCUGGUUCUCAAUGAUGCCGGCUGCUGGCUUAUAGGGGUGAGCAGCCCUUCCACCAUUGCCAAGGCUAUCAGCUUUUGCAGCGGCUCCAUUGCAAGAAUGAACAACAUGGGUGAAAGGGGGUCACCCUGCCGCAGCCCUCUUCGGUGCAGAAACGGCAUGCCCGGACAUCCAUUGAGAAGGACCCUGGAAGAGGACGUGGAGAGCAGCAACGCGAUCAUGUCAGUCCACCUCUGCCCAAAGCCAAAACCUUUCGAAACUUCCAACAUGUAGCUCCAAUGCACGGAGUCAAACGCUUUGGCAAUAUCCAGCUUAAGAAAAAUGAGCGGUGAGUUUCUUGUGAAGGCCCUCCUAAUGACAUUCUGGACAAACAGGAAGUUAUCUUGGAUGCUACGCCCCUUGAGGAAAGCACUUUGGCUAGCAGAAAUCAUGUGUUGCAACUCCGGAGCUAGCCUAUUGGCCAUGAUUUUGCAAAGAAUUUUUGCCACACUGUGCAUGAGGCUAAUUGGCCGAAAAUCAGAUGCUCGAUCGACAUUCCCUUUCUUUGGCAGCAGCACUAUAAAGGCAUUGUUCAGCAGCUUCCAUGUAUUGCCUCUCAGAUGAAAAAACUGGUUGAUGGCCUCCAGAAGAUCGUUCUUGAUGAGUCCCCAACAUUUUUUGAAAGAGCCCCGAAUGAAACCAUCAGGGCCAGGGGAUUUCUCAGCAUGUAAGUCGAAAACCGCCUUCUUUAAUUCCUCUAUGGUGAAAAUGGCAUCCAGGUGCUCAAGGUUGAAUGAAGGAAGCUGCAGAUACUCCCAAUUCAGCUUAAAUUUGUGAUGUCCAACAGUUCCCAGCAGGUUGUUGAAGUGGCCCCACAGGAUCCGGGCCUUCUGCACCUUAUCAACUACAGCGCCUUCCGGCCCAAUCAGAGAAGGGAUGUGAUUCUUGCAUCUGCGCCCGUUCGCUUUGAGCUAGAAGAGUUUUGAAUUGGCAUCUCCAACUUUAAUCCAAGUUAGCCUAGACCUUUGCCGAACCUUGAUCCUCUCAAUAGUUGCAAAACCCAACAGUUUCUUUUUCAGCAGAUCUCUUAAAUUCCUUUCUUCUUUGGUUAGUGCUCUUUCUUCUUGGGCAAGAUCAAAGUGGAAGAUCAAUUCAGUUGCAAUGUUGUACAUCAACCGAGAUCUUUUGGAAGCCUUUCUAUUCCAUUUGGUUAGUGCUUUGGCAGUUCUGGACAGUUUGGUGUGGAGCUUUCUGCAAGGGUCUGCAGAUUGAACAGGUUUCUCCCAAGCCUUGGUCACCACCUCAAGGAAAUCAGGCUUUGCAAGCCAAAAGGAUUCAAAGCGGAAACCUUUGAAGUGUUGCAGAUCCAUUGGCUUGAGAACCAGCGGGCAGUGGUCAGAGAUGGAUGUCGAGGCUGGAGUGAGCUGAUAAUUUGGAAAUUUCAGUUCCCAGGCUUCAGUAACCAGCACUCUAUCAAUCUUGGUUAAAGUGACGUUUUCCCUUUCGUUUGACCAAGUGAACUUUCUCCCAAGCAAGGGGAAUUCCAGCAGCUCAAGUUGAUCCAAAGCAGAUCUGAAUCGGCCCAUCAUUUGCAAAUUGAUAUUACCAUUGCUCUUUUCAUCAGCCUUCUUGAUUAGGUUGAAAUCACCAGUCACCAUCCAGCAGUCCAAGGCAAACUGCUUAAUGUUCUUGAUUUCUUCAAUGAACGAGAUCUUGUCGGAGACUUCUUGAGGUCUGUAGACUGCUGAAAGGGUCCAAGCAUCAUUAUUAGUUCUGUCUCUCACAGUCCCAAUGAUUGAAUUUGGCCCAUCAGCAAGCGGCUCAUGGGUGAUCUCAAAAUCGGUUGAGCAAGCGAUAAGAAUUCCUCCUCUUGUGCCCACAGCUGGCUUAAAGAUGAAAUUUUCUCGAAACCGAGCGCCCAAAAUUUCAGUCACGAUAGCAGGGGUAAUCGCUGCUAGUUUUACUUCUUGCAGACAGACUAUGUUGCAACCAAUUUGAGCCACAAAAAUUAGCGUUGCUCUUCUCUUGGCUGGGUUGUUUAAACCCCUGAUAUUCCAGUUCAGAAUUUUGUAAUCCAUAGGGAAACCAGGAAAACAACAGCUUGGGGCGACAACAAAACAGUAGCGGGCAGCGUUAACUGACAAACAGACCGACCCAAGCAGAGUCGAGCCAUCUGAAUCUGGCUCACUAACGGUAGAACAACAGAACUCAUCAAACCAACCACCACAUGGGGAUACAUCGACUGGGACAUCCAGCCUCUAAGAAAAAAAGGGGGACUAACAUUUGGAAACCAUGACACACCCAACAUAGCAGAACCGAACUAGGAUGCCGCGAGCCCUGGCGCCAUAGCUUGGGCCUUGGCCUUCUUAGCAGGGCUGGAGGCGGCCAUGAGGGAGGAGAUUGCAGCCACAAACGCCGAGGGGAGCGGCUUUUGGCAAAUGUUCUUGAUGCGCUCGAUCCCUUCAGGCAUAGCAGCCGCCAGAUCAGGGGUCGCCCCUUCUUUCUUCAUCAGGACGAACAGCGCCUUGUCCAAGCUGGAGAGCUGACUGGAAGGCUUUGCCGCCAGCCUGCCGCUGCACCUUGGUGCAGCCCCGCCAUCAGCUUUUGGGCGGCCGCCCGUGGCUGAAACCUUUGCCGCCGGAGCCAUGGCGAGGGGGGUGGGUAUCAGAGGGGGAGUGAUCGGGGAUGAGCAAUUGUUGAGGAAGAGCUCGACCUUAUCCCCUUGUGGCACCGACCGGAUGGGCAGAGCAGUAGCCCCAGGUGGGCUCUCCAGAACAUGGAGAUCAGAGGCAAGCAAUGGGCCGCAUGUUGUGGUUGCCUGAAUUGUUUUUCAAUAUACUGAAGCUUAAUUACUUUCCCUAGAUCGGUUGUGAAAGUGGCAUCCCGAAAUUUAUUUGAUACUUCGGAUUACAUUGGAUAUGGUUGUGCUAACUUGACAAAACAGCGUGGCUUCAUUUGUCGCGGUUCUCAGUCUCUCACGGUCUUAGUUGCCUGAAUCGCUGGGCUUACACGGUACUACAAAUUAGUGUAGCAGAUAGUGGUAGAUCAGAUGAGGUGCCUUUACUCGUCUGCUCCCUUGGAAAUGCAUGCAUAUCCAUGUUGACGUCUGCUAUCUUUGAUCUUUAUUCUGAAUCAGAGAUAGUGCCCAUAUGUAUACAUAUGACAAACUCAUCUUUCCACGGCUGGCUCAAGUUCAUUUCAGGAUCAUCAAGCUUCCCGUGUACAUCUACCACCCAAGCCAUGUGAACGAGCCGAUGAAGAUACUCAACAUUAUCUGCUUCAGCUACUUCCUUCGUAACUACAAGAUACUUAAGAUGGAGGCCUGCUCGUCGAUGCUCCACUGGUUUACUGCAGUUUCAAGGGCUUAGGGAGCGCCUCCUUGUUGACAACCUCUUCCUUGCCAAGCUUGUCAUGGAGUGCGUCGUCGAGCCAUCAGCAAUGUCUGUUUUAUUUUGAGAAGCCGUCAUUCACCGGAUUUAGAUAGAUCAUCCGCGACUGCCACUGCCGCCUGUCGGAGCUUUACCCUAUUUUGAACUGUGGCUCCACUUUUGGACAGAAUGUACGAUUAUGUAUGCCAGUAUCAAAAACUGUGUCCCCUUCAUUUUGAAGCAGCUAACAUAUAUCUAAAUGCAUAGUUUAACCAGCUAUACAACUGAUUGCCACCUCAAACUGAAUCUGCUUUCAGCUAUAUCUGCAUGUCUGCCACCAAUUAGCAAAAAAAGGCAAUCCAAG